rnacentral:lncRNA from 1 species
UGUCUCAAAUCUUAUAUCUAGAGUAACAUGUAAGUUGCAUAAAAAAA